rnacentral:rRNA from 1 species
CCCCUAGAUGUUCUGGGCCGCACGCGCGCUACACUGAACAGUUCAACAAGUCUUAACCUUGGCCGAUAGGUCUGGGUAAUCUUUGAACGCUGUUCGUGAUUGGGAUAGACCUUUGCAAUUAUGGGUCUUCAACGAGGAAUUCCUAGUAAACGCAAGUCAUCAGCUUGCAUUGAUUACAUCCCUGCCCUUUGUACACACCGCCCGUCGCACCUACCGAUUGAAUGGUCCGGUGAAAUCUCGGGACGGCGGCUUGGUCGCUUGCGUCCGACUGCUGAAACUUGAUUAAACCAUAUCAUUUAGAGGAAGGUGAAGUCGUAACA